UUUCCGUAGGUGAACCUGCGGAAGGAUCAUUACUGAAGGGAGUCUUCAUCAUCGAAGCUUCUUCCCAUUGUGCUGGCUUUGACCGUAUGUAAUGUUGGGGAUUAAACAUGGUUGAAAUUUAUUUUAGCCGUCCCCAACAAUUUAUCUUAUCCUUUAUUAAAUUGAACUGAACUCAGUUUGAGACUACAUAAAAAAUAAGCUUGUAAUACAACUUUCAACAACGGAUCUCUUGGUUCUG
rnacentral:misc_RNA from 1 species